CCCUUAGAUGUUCUGGGCCGCACGCGUGCUACACUGAGUGGAUCAGCGGGUCAGGUUGCGCGAAAGCGUUUCCUAAUCUUUAAAUCCGCUCGUGAUGGGGAUUGACGGUUGCAAUUUUCUGUCAUGAACGAGGAAUACCUUGUAAGCGCGGGUCAUCAUCCCGCGCUGAAUACGUCCCUGCCCUUUGUACACACCGCCCGUCGCUCCUACCGAUUGAGUGGUCCGGUGAGCCAUUCGGACUUUCAUCAUGCUGGUUUCCAGUUUUGAUGAAGGAAAGUCUUGCGAACCUUAUCAUUUAGAGGAAGGAGAAGUCGUAACA
rnacentral:rRNA from 1 species